CCCUUAGAUGUUCUGGGCUGCACGCGCGCUACACUGAUGCGCUCAACGAGUUUACGACCUUGCCCGGAAGGGUUGGGUAAUCUUUUUAAAACGCAUCGUGAUGGGGAUAGAUUAUUGCAAUUAUUAAUCUUUAACGAGGAAUUCCUAGUAAGCGCGAGUCAUCAGCUCGUGCUGAUUACGUCCCUGCCCUUUGUACACACCGCCCGUCGCUACUACCGAUUGAAUGGCUCAGUGAGGCCUUGGGAUUGGCUUAGGAGGGUUGGCAACGACCCCCCAGAGCCGAAAACUUGGUCAAACUCGGUCAUUUAGAGGAAGUAAAAGUCGUAACA
rnacentral:rRNA from 1 species